AAGCUCGUAGUUGGAUUUCUGCUAAUUUUUGCAUACAAUACCACGGUAUUUAUGUAAAAUUAGCAUAAUCCGCAUUACCUCGCGUAUGCGGAAUUUUACUUUGAGAAAAUUAGAGUGCUUAAAGCAGGCAAUUGCCUUGAAUACUCCAGCAUGGAAUAAUAUUAAGGAUUUUUAUCCUUUUUAUUGGUUCUAGGAUAAAAAUAAUGAUUAMUAGGGACAGUUGGGGGCAUUUGUAUUUAACAGUCAGAGGUGAAAUUCUUAGAUUUGUUAAAGACAAACUACUGCGAAAGCAUUUGCCAAGGAUGUUUUCAUUAAUCAAGAACGAAAGUUAGGGGAUCGAAGACGAUCAGAUACCGYCGUAGUCUUAACCAUAAACUAUGCCGACUAGAGAUUGGAGGUUGUUCCUUACUCCUUCAGCACCUUA
rnacentral:rRNA from 1 species